GGGUCAAAAGUGCUCCUGGAUUUAACCAACAGAGAAACAGGAGAUACUGCCUUGCACAAAGCGGCCUCUCGGAAGCAUCACGCUGUGUGUCGUCUUCUCAUGGACUCCGGAGCUUCCCUCAUCAAGACCAACUUCAAGGGUAAGACCCCAGUAGAGCAAGCUCGUGAUGCGGGGGACCAAGAGCUGGCCUCCUACCUGACCGGCAAACAGCUCCCUACCACUGUCUCCCACGAAGAUCUAGAGACUGCUGUAUGAGAGAGAGAGAGAAGAGAAGAGAGAGAGGGAGAGAGAAGACUUCACAUGGAGAGAGGGGAGGACAGAGAGAAGAGGAUGAGAGAUGGAGGAGAGAGGUAAGCCCCCUUCACCUCCAUAGAUUGACUGAGGGAUGGACAGAUGGAUGGACAGAUGGAUGGACAGACAGGAGCAGCCUGACGCGCUUUAGACUCUGUUCUAUCCUGCACAGGAAAAUGUUUCAUCUAAAUUAUUGUUUAUUAUUGCUUUUAUUUAUUUAUUGAUUGAUUGUAAACGUAUGGGAGUGUUGGGGUAUGGAGUUGCCUGUUGUUCACUGAAUGCCACGGUCUGGGCUAGGUUAGGGUUCAGGGGGUUAGGGGUCAGGGAUCAGAGGUGAGGGUUUGCAGACACACAGAACCUCUCUCAGUGCGGCCCUGCAGCCUUACAUACUGUACCAACGCGGUUCAACCACGGUUAAACCGCGUACAUAGUUUCAAUGUAUGUAUUUCCCAGAAAGCCUUUGUGAAUCAUUCAGACGUGUGCCAACAACACGCAGCACUGUGAGGCAGGGACAGCACCCCGCACCCUCCAUACUACUACCACUGCUACAUUAGGAUACCACUACUGCUAUCCCAACAACACUGCUCGGCUUGUAGACAACCAAUUCUAAGCCUCCACAACCCCCCCUGGAGGCCAGUAUGGGACUGAGAUGAGUGGACAGACAGCUAGGCAGACAAAGAAAAGAGACGGACUGAUUCUUCAUGCAGCCCCGGGGACCCAUUACACACCUGACCUAGAGCUCUACCCGAGCAGCAUGGACAUACCUACGGAAUGUGUGUGUGUGUGUGUGUGUGUUUGUGUGUUCAGUUCUUUUAGACUUGCGUGCAUAUGCGUGUUUGUGUGAUGCAGAGACAGAGGGGGAGUGUGUGUGUGUGUGUGUGUGUGUGUGUGUGUGUGUG